rnacentral:rRNA from 1 species
GAUGAACGCUAGCGAUAGGCCUAACACAUGCAAGUCGAGGGGCAUCACAUGAAGUAGCAAUACGGAUGGUGGCGACCGGCGCACGGGUGAGUAACACGUAUGCAACCUGCCUUUCAACAAGGGGAUAACCCGUUGAAAGACGGACUAAUACCCUAUAACACAGGGGUCCCGCAUGGGAAUAUUUGUUAAAGGACAACCGGUUGAAGAUGGGCAUGCGUUCCAUUAGCUAGUUGGCGGGGUAACGGCCCACCAAGGCAACGAUGGAUAGGGGAACUGAGAGGUUUAUCCCCCAACUGGUACUGAGACACGGACCAGACUCCUACGGGAGGCAGCAGUGAGGAAUAUUGGUCAAUGGACGCAAGUCUGAACCAGCCACGUCGCGUGAAGGAAGACGGCCCUACGGGUUGUAAACUUCUUUUAUACGGGAAUAAAGUGCCCCACGUGUGGGGUUUUCAAGUACCGUAUGAAUAAGGAUCGGCUAACUCCGUG